AUUGUAACCCAGAUGUAAAACACCAUAAAACAAGACAGAGAAGAGAGGGUGAUUAUUUUAUUAGUUUAUUUGCCCCUAUCCAAAGUUUAAAAAUUCUAAUUGCAAUUGAAUGCACCGCCCUUCUGCCCAGCCAAUCAGGCGUAACGCAGGCCACGUCCAGCUCGUGCGGUGACGUGCGUCGUUUUCCCGGUCUUUCUUUAGUCUCAGCAACGGAGUGAGGGCAGCUAUCAGGUUAGCAUCAGAGAAAGAAAAACAGAGAAAUACGAAUAAUCCUGUGGGGAAAAAAGAACAACAACAAAAAACAAAAAGCCAAUACACUUACCCACUGGAAUUCGGAGCCGAGUCACGUAGGCUAACAGGCUAACUACCUGCCUUCCAUUGGGAGAACCGCUGCGGUGCUAACAUCGGAGUCCUGGGCUUUGACAAACACAGAGCAACGGAAACAUAAAUGUGUUUGAAACGAAAACAAAACAAGGCUGGAUACGGUUCAUCAGACUCUCCAAUCAACAGUUCCUAAAGUAAACCGAAUGCUGUUCAUGAACAUUUUGAAGUUUCUAUCCCAAAAAUCAGAAUC